AUUGAACGCUGGCGGCAGGCCUAACACAUGCAAGUCGAGCGGAUGAAGGGAGCUUGCUCCUGGAUUCAGCGGCGGACGGGUGAGUAAUGCCUAGGAAUCUGCCUGGUAGUGGGGGAUAACGUCCGGAAACGGGCGCUAAUACCGCAUACGUCCUGAGGGAGAAAGUGGGGGAUCUUCGGACCUCACGCUAUCAGAUGAGCCUAGGUCGGAUUAGCUAGUUGGUGGGGUAAAGGCCUACCAAGGCGACGAUCCGUAACUGGUCUGAGAGGAUGAUCAGUCACACUGGAACUGAGAGACGGUACAGACUCCUACGGGAGGCAGCAGUGGGGAAUAUUGGACAAUGGGCGAAAGCCUGAUCCAGCCAUGCCGCGUGUGUGAAGAAGGUCUUCGGCUUGUAAAGCACUUUAAGUUGGGAGGAAGGGCAGUAAGUUAAUACCUUGCUGUUUUGACGUUACCAACAGAAUAAGCACCGGCUAACUUCGUG
rnacentral:rRNA from 1 species